AAAAAAAAAGAAAGCACAACAAAACAACAGUAAGAAAUUUAUUUUCUUUACAAAUUACCCAGUUUAAGGUAUUUUGUUGUAAGCAAUGGAAAAUGGACUAAUGCACUGUUGUUGUAUGUCUGACAUGCCCCAGGGAUAUAACAUACCUGAUUUUUAAAUUCAGGACACAUAGCUCCUGAGGCAGGAUCUAGACACCAGCUAUUCCUAUGCAAUGCUGGAGAAUAUGGGACAUCCAUAUGUACAGAUACCCACCUCAUACAGCUGCAACAUGCUCUGACAACUGUCAAACCAACAACCCUCAAGCUGACUGUAGAACUACCAAUAAUCAAAUUCACGGCGCGAUUUUGGAUAGAAGUCCGUCACUUUCCCAGGAACUCCCGAAGCAAUGCAAAUUGGGCCUGAUGUGGAUUGAAAGCUAUUUUGUCUUCUUAUUUCUUCAAGAGCACAAAAAGUUGAAGGCCCCAAAAACCAUUCACUUUUUCAUUCUGGCAAAGCCUAAUUUUGUUCUCAACCCGCAGCACACAGUGAAGAGAACCCCAAGAGUAAAUGUAGCUUAAACAAUAUGACCUUUAUCAUCAGAAGAAAACAGCAAUGCUUAGGUGGAAAUUGACUGGGUUGGGAAGCUUGGAAGGUAGAAAAUUUAUCAUCAACAUUAUCAGUAUCAGACAACUAAUAAUACCUCUGAAAAAAGGAAAUCUCUACAAGCUGCCAGCUGAAGUUGGCGUGUGUUCUCUGUCCAAAGCUGGGUGAUGUCCACACCCAAACCAGUCAGGGGACUGGGAAUGAGGCCCCCAAAGGGAACAAAUGACUGAAUAUUCCAGAUAAAGGUAGAGAACACAGCAAUCUAUGCACCACCCCCCCACCCCCCAUUUUUUAAAAACAUUUAACCAGAAGUCCAGACCUUAUCACUCUCUAAGUAAUUUAAGGUGACUAAGGUGAUGCACAUUGUGGCACCAUGACAGCUAAUAGCAGGAGUCUUCUGUAAUGCACACUUUCAGCAACUUAACUCUGGAAAGGCCCCAGGCAGGGUCAGAAAGUGCAACAUCAUUCACAAAAAUUUACCAUAUAUCUGACAAUUACAACAAAUCUCCCUUGCGUGGAUGUUUGGAUGUGAGAUUCAAUUUCAGGCUGAGAUCUCCCUCAACAAGCUAACACAGGGUCAUCCAAGGGAAAGAAUACAGUCAUGGGUUCUUAGUUUGUUUCUAGCUGGGCCAGUAAAGCUCCUUUCUCAUCUCAUUCCUCUUGUCCACCUACCACUAGAGACAGAAACAAAACCAUGGCUUCAGGCUAAAAGCCUAAAACAAAACAGAGCAACAAAAAAAUAGGGUGAGUAAGACAAGCUCGAUAGAGCUUUGCUGUUUUUGACCUGUUGACAAAGGAAAAAAAGUAUAUUGCCUGCAUUCCUAAGGACUUUCUCCAGGAUGAACUUACUCUUGCUCAGUGAAGUUAGGCUGAAUACUUUCUAACAUUUGCUGCACUCAUAAUAUUCUGCUGGUUGUAUAGUAAUAACAUACAAAGGUGUUUUUCUGAUGUCAGGACAUGUCACAAUGAUAAUCAUAAAAUGUAGACCACUUUGCUACUUACAGCUUGAAACCUAAGGACAUAGGCAGGGCUGCAAGAGUUAUGAGGGAACCCAAGAUAACAGCAAGCUGGAGCUUAGGGGGCAGCUUGUGUGUGCCAUGUAAAUUGGGGUUAGCUAGGUUUUCAGGGACCCCUGUGCAUUGACCAAUGGAAUAAUUUUACAAGCUCCUGGGCACAGAAGCUGUCCCUAGAUAUCUGAUUCCUGAUCCUGGGGUGAUUGGGUCUUACAUAUUGUGGCCCAGAGUUUGAGAGCCUGAUAAGGAAAAUGGUUGGGAGUGUGGACUUAAUCUGCUGCUCCAAAAUUGUAACUGACAAGCCUCUACCAAGGGCCUUAAUGCUAGGCAAAAACAUUAUUCUUUUGAUGUUAAAAAAAAAAAACUGGAUAUCCACACGCAAAAGAAUUAAGUUGCUAAAAUGAACUCAAAUGCAUCAAAGACUUAUAAAACAGAUAUAUUAGACUCCAUUUAAAUUCAAAAUUCCUGUGUAAAAAAGGACAUAAUGGACAGAGUGAAAAGGAAAAAGACUCAAUGGGAGAAAGUAUUUGAAAACCACAUAUCUGAGAAGGAAUAUCUAGAAUAUGAGGGGUCUUCAAAAGUUUCAUGAAAAAUGAGAAAAAAAUGUAUAUUAUGAAAAAAUUGGCCAGGGGUGGUGGCUUAAGCCUGUAAUCACAGCACUUUGUGAGGCCCAGGCAGGUGGAUCACCUGAGGUCAGGAGUUCGAGAGCAGCCUGGCCAACAGAGUGAAAACCCAUCUCUACUAAAAAUACAAAAAUUAGCUGGGCGUGAUUGUGGGCACCUGUAAUCCCAGCUACUCAAGAGGCUGAGGCAGGAGAAUUGCUUGAACCCAGGAGGCGGAGGUUGCAAUGAGCCGAGAUCAUGCCACUGCACUCCAACCUAGCGUUAGUGAGACUCUGUCAAAAAAAAAAAAAAAAAUUAUGUAUGGAUUUCAAUUUUUUACACCAAAGUGAAUUUGUAAUAACUUGUUCUAACAAGUAUGAACAGGAUCUAGUUUGAGGCACUAAGAACGGCAUCAGUUUGAAAACACCUUCUAUCAGAGGAAUGUGAAUUCAGCUAAGGUUGAAGAAAGAACAAAUAUCAAAUAUAUAGUAAAGCUUGGCUCUAAAAAUGGUAAAACCGGCCGGGUGCGGUGGCUCAUGCCUGUAAUCCCAGCACUUUGGGAGGCCAAAGCGAGUGGCUCACUUGAGGUCGGGAGUUUGAGACCAGCCUGGCCAACAUGGUAAGACCCCGUUCUCUACUAAAAAUACAAAAAUUAGCGGGGCAUGGUGGUGCAUGCCUGUAAUCCCAGACACUUGGGAAGCUGAGGCAGAACUGCUUGAACCAGGAGGUGGAGGAGGUUGCAGGAAGCCAAGAUUGCACCACUGCACUCUAGUCUGGGCAACAGAGCAAGAUUCUGUCUCAAAAAUAAUAAUAAAAAUAAAAAUGUAUUGUCGUCUAAGUACACAAUGUCUAUAAAGUCUACAGCACAGUAACAACCUAGGCCUUCACAUUCACUUACCACUCACUGACUCACCUAGAGCAACUUGCAGUACUGUAAGCUUCAUUCAUGGUAAGUUCUCUGUGAGUCUAUCAUUUUUUCUUUUAUACUGUAUUUUUACUGUACCUUUUCUGUUUAGAUAUACUUAAAAACAAUUACUUACCAUGUGUUCCAACAGCCUACAGUAUUCAGUACAGUAAUAUGCUAUACAAGUUUGUAGCAAGGUGCUAUAGGAUAUACCAUACAGCCUAGGCAUUCACGCAACCCCCCCACCACCAAAAAAAGAAAGAAAAUCACCUAAUAACACUUUUCUCAGGACACUUCCCCACUGUUAAGCAACACAUGACUAACAGAAUUUUAUUCAGCCUUUAAAAAGGAUGGAAAUUCUAAUGGAUUAGAACAUGAAACCUUAAAAAUAUAACGUUAAGCAAAAUAAGCCACAAAAUAAACCACAAGAAGACCAAAACUUAAGUUUUCUUAUAUGAGGUACCCGGACUAGUAAAAUUCAUACAGAGCGGUGCUUGUCAAGAGGCUGGAUGGAGUGAGGAAUAAGGUUUUAAAAGGUAUAGACUUAGUUUCAUAAGUUGAAAAGACUUCUAGAUAUUCAUUGCACAAUGUGAAUGACUUAACAGUACUGAACUAUACACUUUAACAUGGUUAAGAUGUUAGAUUUUAUGUUAUCUGUAUUCUACAAGAAUACUUUUUUUAAAACGUAGGUCCCAGUGCUAAAUCAGAGUAGAUUUCUGUGUGAAGUCUUUCCCCAUCUGCUUUAUAUAUACAUUCUUUAUCUGGUGUGAACUUUCUGGUGCUGAAUGAGAUGAGAAUUUUGGUUAAAGACUCUUCCACAUUCACUGCACUGAUAAGGUCUCUCUCCAGUGUGAAUUCUCCGAUGUUUAAUGAGGCUGGAGUUGUAUCUAAAGACUUUCCCACAUUCACUGCACUCAUAAGGCUUUUCUCCAGUAUGAACUCUCUCAUGACUAAUGAGUGUGGAGCUGUCCAUAAAAAAUUUCCCACAUUUGCUGCAUUUGUAAGUUCUUUCCCUAGUGUGAACUUUUUGGUGCCGAAUGAGGUGGGAAUUUUGGCUAAAAACUCUCCCACACUCAGUGCACUCAAAAGACCUUUCUCCAAAGUGAUUUCUCCGAUGUCUAAUAUGAUUUGAGUUGUGCCUAAAGAAUUUCCCACAUUCACUACACUCAUAAGGCCUUUCACCAGUGUGAAUUCUCUGAUGUGUAUCAAGUGUGGAGCGACAUCUAAAGGAUUUCCCACAAAUGCUGCAUUCAAAAGGUCUUUCUCCAGUGUGAACUCUCUGAUGACUCUUCAGUGUACAGCUGUCCACAAAGAAUUUGCCACAUUCACUGCAUUCAUAAGGCCUCUCUCCAGAGUGAACUCUCUGAUGUCUAUUCAGUGUGAAGCAAUACCUAAAGAAUUUCCCACAUUUGUUGCAUUCAUAAGGCUUUUCUCCAGUAUGAACUCUCUGAUGAAUAAUGAGUGUGGAAGUGUCCAUAAAGAACUUCCCACAUUCACUACACUCAUAAGGCUUUUCUCCAGUGUGAACUUUCUGAUGUCUAAUGAGUGUGGAACGGUAUCUAAAGAAUUUCCCACAUUCGUUGCAUUCAUAAGGUUUUUCUCCAGUAUGAACUCUCUGGUGAAUAAUGAGUGUGCAGCUGUCCAUAAAGAAUUUCCCACAUUCACAGCAAUAAAAAGGCCUUUCUCCAGUGUGAACUUUCUGAUGUCUAAUGAGUGCUGAACUGUACAUAAAGUAUUUCCCACAUUCAUUGCAUCCAUAAGGCCGUUCUCCAGUAUGAAUUUUCUGGUGACCAACAAGGUGAGCCUGUGUAAGGAAGGCCUUCCCACAUUCACUACACACAUAAGGCCUUGGCCUGGUGUGAAUCCUCUGGUGCUGAAGUAGGUGAGACUUUCUAAGAAAAGCUUUCCCACAUUCACUGCACUCAUAAGGCCUUUCUCCAGUGUGAAUUUUCUGGUGUUGAACAACAUUGUAUUUGAGGCUGAAGGCUUUUCCACAUUCACUACACUUAUAAGGCCUUUCUCCAGUAUGAUUUCGCUGAUGUUUAAUAAGGUCGGAGUUGUACCUAAACAAUUUGCCACAUUCACUGCACUCAUAAGGCCUUUCCUCUGUGUGGAUUUUCUGGUGCUCAAACAGUGUAUGUUGGUGGCAAAAGUCUUUCCCACAUUGGGUGCAGCUGUAAUUAUUCUGUCCACUUUGAAAGGCCUCCACACCAUGAGUGUCCCUGUGUGGCUUCCACCCACUGUGAAGAGCCUGUUGUUGAAGAUCUGAAUCACCAGUAAAAUCCUUGCCACCCUGCAUGCAUGUGAGGUUCCUCUUUGCCAGGUGAACACUGUCAUUCACAAACGAAGGCCUCCCUUCAUCACUUCUGGUGAGCUUCUCUCUAAGAUGCUCCUUUUGGUGCAGGUAAAGCUUGGCUGUACGCUUGGGGUGUGUUCCGUCAUGCUCAGCCAGGUGUAGAAUGUCCUUCAGAAGUGAGCUACAUGUCUCACAGGGCUGGGCCUUCUGGGUGGACAAAGCUGGCUUUAAAGUUGUGACCUGUGACACUCCUACAGAAACACAUUGCUUGGAAGGUGCCUCCUCAUC
rnacentral:lncRNA from 1 species